UAUGCCCAUAUCACAUUGAAACACCUGUUCCUGUAUGAUGACCAAAAUUAAGCAACAUAAAGCCUGGUAAAUACCUAGAUGGGUGACCACUUGGGAAUACCUGGUACUGUAAG